rnacentral:ncRNA from 2 species
GUGUGUAAACAGAAUAGUGCUCGUAUAAUCGCGGGAAUAUGGCCCGCAAGUUUCUACCAGGCAACCGAGAAUUGCCUGACUACGAGUGGAAGCGCAUCUAGG